UGCCAAACUCGAGGAAGGCAUCAAGGAACUGCAAUUAAACCAAAAAGAAAUAUUGGAAAGACUACGCUCUGGAGCAACUGCGACGGCUGUAGCUGUUGGUUAUCAAGCCCUGUCCCUGCCAGAAGGAGUCAAUUUACCAUGCACCCAGAUCGAAGAGAUUAAAAAGAUUGAUGUCUGGCUAACAGUGGACGAAAAUUACAUGCUACUUGUUAACCACUUGAGCUAUGUAGGCGGUAACAAAACAUCAGCAAUAUUAAGGAGGAUUCUUGAAAAACUGUUUUCAAACAAACUUGCGGAAAUCUGUAAUUGGUCAGGCAAAAAUGGAAAACAUAAGCUACAAGAUCACCUUUUAAUUAAAGUUGUUACUGAAGCUCUCCGUCGGCACAAAGUCGCCGAAACGGCUACAGAAAACGAGAUAAAGACCGUGGUUAGCAACUGGUUCCGCUUCUCCAAAGAUAGAGAUGGAGGUCGAGAAAGCAGACGCAGGACAAUUGAGCCAACUUCUAUCCAGCAAUAAUCAACGUUACACAGGGCUGUCAACUAGAAAUAAGAAAAGACAUUUAGCCUUAAAGAUACAAGAAAUAUCUGUAGAGUUAAACGGGCUCAGUGGGGAAACUAGUCCACCUAAUCAACCAUAUACUGUAGAUGUCGGUAACAGUAAUUUUACUCGUGAAUCAAACUAUACAAAUAAUAUGCUCGGUGACAGUGACGAUGACGUCACUAUCAAUGUUAAUUUGCCAAACAGUCCCCUUCUGUUUGACACAAAUGACAGUGUUUUAAAAUCAUUUCUAGUUUCUUGGUCUAAACGGUACAAUAUUUCACACUCCGCACUCAAUCAUCUACUGGAAGGAUUGCAAGUAUACCAUCCAAGUUUGCCAAAAGAUGCUCGCGUUUUGUUACAGACACCAAGGAGUAUUAAUGUUGUCCAAUGUGCAGGAGGCUCGUAUGUGUAUUUUGGGCUUGAAAAUCAGUUAAAAAAAAGAGCUUCUGCUGGUUUAUGUUCAAAU